rnacentral:rRNA from 1 species
GACGAACGCUGGCGGCGUGCUUAACACAUGCAAGUCGAACGGAAAGGCCCUGCUGUUGUGGGGUGCUCGAAUGGCGAACGGGUGAGUAACACGUGAGUAACCUGCCCUUGACUUUGGGAUAACUUCAGGAGACUGGGGCUAAUAACGGCUAGGAGCGCCUGCUGCAUGGUGGGGGUUGGAAAGUUUCGGCGGUUGGGGAUGGGCUCGCGGCUUAUCAGCUUGUUGGGGGGGUAGUGGCUUACCCAGGCUUUGACGGGUAGCCGGCCUGAGAGGGUGACCGGCGACAUUGGGACUGAGAGACGGCCCAGACGCCUACGGGAGGCAGCAGUGGGGAAUAUUGCACAAUGGGCGGAAGCCUGAUGCAGCAACGCCGCGUGCGGGAUGACGGCCUUCGGGUUGUAAACCGCUUUCGCCUGUGACGAAGCGUGAGUGACGGUAAUGGGUAAAGAAGCACCGGCUAACUACGUG